GGAAUUAUUAUGACCCUCAGGAUUCUCACCCACAAACAAGGAGCAAGCAGCUGCCUCAUUGUGCUCCUCUGGUGCUGGGCUAGCCUAAGGUCAGGGACGAGAAGGUAAGUGUAAACUGUGAAGUACUUACUAAGUACAAAGGUAAGUGUAAACUGUGAAGUACUUACUAAGUACAAAGCAAUGUGUACAGCUGGGCUCGGCACACGCCUAUAGUCCCUGCACUAGGGAAAGAGGAUUGCUGUGAGUUCAAAGCCAAGCCUUUGAUACCCAGCGAAACGCUGUAAAUAAAUAAAUAAAUGGCCCUACACUUUUAGUUAAGCAAAUUUGGGAGUAUUGAGGCCUGCUUCUUUUAACAUAUCUGUAGCCAUUUUGUACUCAAAUCUCCGUUUUGCUCAUAAGGUGAAAUUAAGUUCAGGUACUCAGACUCUACUUCUCAGAAAUAAUUAUCUAACAGCUAACAUUAAAAAAUGUUACUAGUAAUCCAAAAAGUUAUGGCUGAAUCAUUUGCUCCCCGUUAUCUCAAUGCUCUGAAAUUCCCCUGUUCAGUGCCGGUCCACUACCACCCUCGGUCAGGACCAGUCAGCUUUAAGGUUGGCUGGUAAUACUGUGUGUGGUUAGCCAAAAAAAACGAUAGCCUUCAAACUUUUUUUUUUUUUUCCCGGAGCUGGGGACCGAA